AUACGGAGGGUGCAAGCGUUAAUCGGAAUUACUGGGCGUAAAGGGCGCGUAGGCGGUCUAUCAAGUCAGGUGUGAAAUCCCACGGCUCAACCGUGGAGGUGCAUCUGAAACUGAUAGACUUGAGUAUGGGAGAGGAAAGUGGAAUUCCCGGUGUAGAGGUGAAAUUCGUAGAUAUCGGGAGGAACACCAGUGGCGAAGGCGACUUUCUGGACCAAUACUGACGCUGAGGCGCGAAAGCGUGGGGAGCAAACAGAAUUAGAUACCCUAGUAGUCC
rnacentral:rRNA from 1 species